UUGGAUCCUCACUUAUGUAGCAAGUUGGUAGUCAAUGGGUGCUGUGCAGAGGAGUAAUUUGUAAUUUUUGGUUCUGAGACUCUCCAGGUAAAGGGUGAUCCCUUCCAGUGGUGCUUCUGAGAGCAGGCAGGAAGGAAAAAUGCUCAGUUGACACAAAACAAGGUAGUAAAACUCUUGGGACUGGGAUUCCACAGAUUUUUUGUUUGAAAACGAGGACCCUGGAGCUAAUAUCAAGAACCUAUUAGCUAUUUUCAUUGGCAUGAUAAGGCUGAAACCACCAACCAUGCAAAGCUCUAUUUCUCAUAAAGUGCCAUGAUUUUGGGUAUGGGGCGUGAGUGAACUGUUCUGACUGCAGCAGCUUUGCUUCUUGGCAGUGGCUAGGGAGAUAGAUGAACUUCAGUGCUUUAACAUCAGUGUCUACAACAUCAUUUGCCUCACCAUGGCUACUUGAGAGCUGUUCCUCAGCCUCACAAGGAGCUGGAGCAGGCUCCUUUGGCACACUUUGCAUUAUUAUCAUUAUUAUUAUUAUUACAUGGUUAUCCAUGUUGGUGCAGAUGCUGUUGUAAACCCAUGAAAGGAAAGGAAAAUAGGAGGGAGCUCUUUCCACUGCUAUUUUUAUUCUGCCUUGCAUCCCACAAACAAGGAUACUGAGUUCAGCCAUUGUGCAUUUUGAACAAGGAGCCUGGUGUUGGGAUCUCUGUGUUUAGUCCUUCAGCUUUGCAUCCUGGGUGACCUUUGGUCAUACAUUGUCUCUGUUUCCCACCUGUGAAAACACAGCCUAAAGCACUCCACACUUCAAAGGCCUUUCCUUGAGAAGAAUCAGUUCACUGUUACAGUAAGAACAAUCAUAAGGUGCUCAAAACUGAGGAAAGGCUUCUUCUACCUGGGAAGGCUGCACAGAUGGAGAGUUAAUAAUUGCCAGGUGUAAUUACUGUCAAGCUGAGGCUGCCUUUCUGAGCAAUGUACAGGGCAGACAGUUAAUGCCAUAAGGAAAUCAGCAUCACAGCUUGUGCUGUAGCUCAGGUAUGGGAUGGAAAGUUCUUGCCAAUUUGUUAAUGAAUCGGUGUACAUUAGGAUAAAACAAUAACGAGAAGUUUCAGAGAACAGUGGAGUGGCUGGACUUCAAGGCCUGGAGAAGUCACUGGUUUCCUGCUGCUGGCUCUCCUUGCCUGACAAGGAAUGCUGCUGUAGCCUCACAGUGCUGAUUUGGUUGGUAGCUCUUCCUGAAAAGCGAAAUAAGCAUGAUGAACCAAACUUGAGUCUGAGAAGCUGAACUUGCAAGCAGCGACACCAUUUUUCAGCUUGAAUUAAAUUAAAAUUUAAUCAAUAGCCGGGACACAGCUGCUGACUAGAAAACCAGCAUAUGGAACUGAUCUGUGAUCAUCUGAAGGAAAUAAGAACUUCUGCACACACUGGCCCUGCGCUGCUGUUACAUCAAUUGCUGUUUAUAUUUAAAACUCAUCAGAUUGACAGUGAGUCUAAGUUCUUACUGUAACUUGACUUUUGAAGGUUUUUGGAGAAAAUGGCAUGUGGAGAUGAGCUCUGUGCUAUCUAUAGGAUUUCCUGUCUCACAAUAGCCCACCCAGCUGUCUCCUCUAUACUGAAUAUUCAUCCCCAAGUAAUGAUGCACUGAAGAUGUAAUUCUGCAAUGCAGCAGAGUGCCAAUGGCAGCUGUAGAUUUGCUGUCCCUCCAUGGUAGUACAGAACACGGAGGCUUCAGUGUCCCACUACAAAGAAUUGUGUAGCCAAAGCACCCUUCUUGCAGGUGCACCUGGGUUGUUGCUGGGCUUGUCCUUGUAAUUGUUCCCUCGAGUGAUUUUAGCAUGUUCCCUGUGGUGUGCAAAGUGUAAAUUGGUGUAACAAACAAUUCAAGCCCCUCUCAGGCUGAGAGAGGCUUGAAAUCUCUUGGAGAAGGUUGUAUAUAGAAAUACCUGAUUCUGCACCUUUCUCUCAGGGGGAUGGAGCUAACUUCUGUUUUGCUCCUGGCCUUGAUCACAGAACAGAUGGAGCUGGAAGGGAUUGCUGGAGAUCACCCAGUCCAAGCCCCCUGCUCAAGCAGGUUCACUUGGAGCAGAUUGACAGGAUCACGUCCAGCUAUUACUGUCGAGACAGCUACUGUGAGGUGUAUCUCAGACUAAUGGAUUCCUUUAAAAAUGCCAGCUUUUAUUAAAGGAGAUUACUGAAGCCAGGACUUCCAGUGUCCUGUUUACAGCCAGUCACUGAGCUGAGCAGUGCUGCCCCUGAAAGAGUCCUGCAGAACAUUUCCACCAGGCAGAGUUCAGAUUAGACCAGAUGGUGGUCCUGAUUACCAGAAAGUAAGUGGGAACAGAAGAUUCACCAUGGUGUGCGUGGCAGAAGCUGGGAAUAUGCAAGGAACCCAAAUGUCUCAGAGGGAGAUCCUCCCUGGUGCUGCACCUGCUCCCCAGCUCGCAGAGCCAGAGAAACCACACAGUGGCAUUGUCUUCCUCAGCAUCUGGGCUGCUGUUGUCACCAUGAGGAACCUCUGGUUCAACUGACAGGUGGGGAUGGCCACAGAGACAGGUAAAUCCCCAGUGAAUGCACCGUUGUACAUGCAGGGAAAUGUUAUUCCAGAGUUUGUCCUAGCUCCAGGUCAGAAAGAUCCCCUGCAGAUCUGCCCGCUCUGCCGGGUAAUGGUUCUCUUUAAAUAUCAUUCUGUGCUAGCUUGACAUUUCCCUCUCCUGCCAGCUACAGAGCUGGUCUAGAAAGCUGGAGGGGCUUUUUCUUGUGUAGUGGGAGCAUUCAAGCAGAGGCAGAUCUGCUGCAGGGCAUCAACAAAAAAAUCAUACCAGCCCUCACCAAACAGAGUGCAGAUGGAAAUUUCAGCUGUCACAGAGAUGUUCCUCACCAAGACAGAGGCACUCUGCUGUCCUGCAGCUGUAGGUUCUUGCCUUCAGAAGCUACUUGUUUAGGUUUCAAAGACAAAUACCUAGAACAGGUUACAACAAGGGAUGGAGGGGAAAGACAAGUAUAAUAUGACUGGAGGUUGCCUCUUGGCAUCUCCUCUUGCUGUGAUUUGUUUAUGGGUUUUAUUCAAAGUUAUAUUAUCUUUGGUGCUCAAUCCCCCUUCUUAUCCUGCCCUGCUGGAGGAGUUGCUGACCCUGGCCCAGGCCUUGUGAGAGACAUCAGGACAUGUAAACCAACUUUUCCCACAGUGCUGGAGUCCCUGGAAAGGCUGUGUGUCCAUCUGAGGUGCAAAGUGAGCACAACCCCUCCCAGUCUGGAAGUGUGCUAUGCUUGUCCCCCUGCUGGCUUCCUCCCAGGCUCCUUCCUCUCAUUCUCAUCCUCCCCCCAGCAAUAGCCUGUGGAGUCUCAUUUAGCCAUUUCACAAUAACACUGUAUUGAUGCUGCAAGUUCAGAUCAUGAUUUACAGAGAUUACUUCCCCCUGUGACACUCCAAAAGCUGCUGGCAGGCCUGCAUGGCACUUGUGCCAGCUGCCUUCCCAAGGAAAGCAAAUUCCAGGUUCAUCAGUCUUGAGAGCUGGGGCAGAGAAGGGGAUGUGAGCUCUGAGCAGAGCAAGAGCUCACUUCUGACACCCCCUUCUUGGGAAUGCCACGGCUGCCUUUGGGUUGGAUGAGACAAAUGUUUUGAAAUUGCCUAAAAUCUGUGUUGGUUGAAGUCACUUGGGGCCCGUGUCAGUCUCCCAGCUCUCCUUUGAUGUGUGUCUCCAGCUUGUUAAUGCAGGAGCAAUCAGCUGCAUAAUUUUCAUGGGAAGCAGGAGGGUAGCUUGCCUUAAUGUCUUCCUACGUGCCAAAUAGGAUGCAUCGAAUUUAAAGGUGCCCCCACACACUUAAUGCAGCUUUGGUAGCUCACCGUGGGGGCCCACACUGCUGCAGCCCAUGGGGAUUCUGUGGGCUGAGUGACAAUGGAGGACAGGAAAGGCCUGUGAUUUUUAAGUCCUUUUUCCAUCAUACUUUAUCAUAAGAAAAGCAAAAUAGUUUGUCCCGUGUUACUGAAACAUUCCCAUGAUCUCCUGUGUUUGCAGGAGAGGAGGAGCUCAGUUUGUCCCCUGCAGGGUCAUGCCCAUAUAUCAAUGUUUAUUUAUUAAUUAUAUCUCACUAACCUGGCAGACCAUUACAGGCAUGCUGUCCACAGAAGAACCCACGCAAAGCUCAUCACCCUAUAUUUUUCAUAAAAUGGAGCUGAUUUAGACAGAGCAUUGACAGAUGGCAAAUCAAAGUGCUUGCUGCUGGUCAGUAUCUCUCAAAACGUAAUCCUGAAGAGAGGUGCCACUUCCAUUCCUUGCUUUUAUUCACAGUUCAGCCAGGAACACAAGCUUGUGGUGGGUAAUCCCCAAUUAGUUUCUUAACUUUCAAUUUAUUGCUAUUUCUGUUUCGGAUUAUUCAGCUUGUUCAGCUCCAAUAUCCUUUCUGUACUUGUAGAAAAAUCCCUUUUAUCAAAAGCUGGUUCACCUCAGCCAAUUCUUGUUCCAGAUGUUCAGAUGGUAAUUCCAUCAGCUGGGCUGAUUUUAUAUUCUUUAAAACUUUAGUAGCAAAUGUUCGUGAUUUUCACCUUGAAUUUUAUCUUAUUUUUAAAAAUAUAUAUUAAACUUAUGUUUUAAUAAUCAGUGUAAGAAUUUCACACUUUAUUUUAAAUAGGCUUAUAUUUUAAGUGUGCUAUUGAAUUAUUAAUGAAUCCAGCUUAAGUGUUUACUUCUGUAUAUAUUACAGUAUAGACACAUACUUUAAAAGAAGACAAGAUUUUUAAAAAUCAUCCAGUCUAAUGCCCUGAUUCCCAAACACGAAGGGAUACUUUUGUGUUUGAAAAACACUUGUGAGAAGAUAAUGAUUACUUCUGACUUGUUUUAUCUUAAAUGGGAAAAUAUCAUUCCUCAGAUGCCUGAGAUGGACUGAAACGUCUUUUAAUGUCCCCUGCAGGUGAUUUGUGUAUAAAUUGAAGGCCUUAUAUCCUAAUUUCCUGCCUUUUUUUUUUUUUUUUUUUUUUUUUUUUUUUAAUUUUCAGGUGGUUGGUGCACAUAUAUAGCAGUGCUGUAUGAAAGUAACACAAUAAGUAAUCUGAGUAAGGGGAAGUGGAGACUAAAUUAUUUGGAAAUGCUGAAAUAGUUCUUUCCAGAACCCAGGAUUAGAAAAAAUACCCACUGCAAUGACUUGGAUCACUUACAUUUGAAACUUCUCUAAAGAACCUUUGUAAGAGAAAAUGAUUAUUUUAGGAACCAAGGCUGCUUUUCUAGAAGCUGGACACAGCUGUUCCCUGAAAUUGAAGCAGCCCUUCUGCUCUCAGAGGCCUUGGUGAAACCUGCUUGGUGCACUCUUACCACUGUCUCUUUAAAGAAGUUCUCAGGAGCUUUUGGCAUGAGGACAAAACGGGACAGAACUGCUCAUGCAGGAUCCCUGUGCAUGUGCAUUAGCAAAUUGGGCAUUAAUGAGCUGAUAGGGCUUGUAAAGUUCAUCAGGAGGCAUUUAGCCAAGUGACUGCCACAGGUACUGCCAUGAGAGCUCCCAGAGGAGGUGUGGCUCCCAUCCUCAGCAAGGAGCUGCAGUGGCAACAGGACACAUUAAAUGGAUGCAGAAGGUACAGCUGAACAAGACAGAGGGACUCUGGCAGAACUCCCGUGCUCUUUGUCCCAGCCUUCACCUCCUCACUUGGUCUCCAGCACCUUCUCCAGGGUAAUCCAUGGAUGAACACAUAGGAGAAGAUUCCAGUAAUCUCAAGUGAUGAACUUGCUUGGGUCCUGCCACCUGAUUGACUCAGCUGGGGGAGCCUGGUUUGGCUUCCCACCUCAGUGAGUCACCAGCAAAAGGCAUUUCCAGGGAGGUCAGGCCAGGAACAAGCGAUGUGAACGCAUCUUUUGGAGAUGGGAAGCAAACGCAGUUCCUGCUCCCGUCUGGGCAGGAUGCUGUCGCCUUCCUCCGCGGCCUCUCUGCUUGAAUAUUUCAGGAAUGUCUGAAGCGAGUUGUUUUCCGCCCCCUAAGGCCACUUAAAGCCUGAGGCCGGGCCAGGCUGGCCGAGCCGGCUCUGACACUGCCUCUUUGUGCGAGCUGCACCGAGUGGCUGCGGGUGUCGCAGCGUGCUGGGCAGCGCCGUCCCUGCUCAGCACAGCUGCUCCUGCAGGGAAUGUUCAGGGCAACGAGCCCUUCGGCUGCUCUGCAGCAUCACAGCCCUGCCGUGGUACCUACACUGUUUGAGAUUCUCCUCAGAAAGGAGCUUCAUGGCUGUCCCAGUGCUGGAGGGAUUUGGGAAGUGUCUGUCAGGACUGUGGAAAGACCGCCUUGAGCAGCGCUUCAGGUGAUUCUUCAUUACGAGCUCGAAGUUGAUGCCAAGAACAAACUAAGGGAUGUGCUUGAGUAUCUGAAAAACUUCAGGAAAAUAUUCACACAAUUCCCCAGGCAAUGGGGAUGUGCAAAGAUAUUUUGAAAGGAAUGAAAGCAAUAUGUGCUCUAAACUAGUGGGAAGUGAAAUGUGAGAGUUAUCCCGGUGGCUGGAGAGCAAAGCUUAGAUGUAGGAUGUCAUCAGCAGCCAGGCAUGGAUGAAGGGUGGCAGCAAGGUCAGCUGUGAUUAACAGUAUGCGUUGUGCAAGGGAUGAGUUUGGCUGUGGCUAGAAGAAGGUCUCCUCCAGAUUAGGCAGAUGCUACAAAGGGAGUUUCUGGAAGGGUUGUUAUGUCCUGCUGCAUCCAGCACGCCUGCUUUGCUCUGAUAACACUUUGCUGUGCUUCACAGACUCGGGUAUGUGCCUUGCUGUACCAGCCACGUGUGUGCAUUUCAGUGGAGAAGUGCUUAUCUGGGACAUUCCAGUGUGGGGGCUACCAGGAAAAGUUAUUGCUGGCACCUCUGUGCCAGUUCCUGACUCCUCUGCUGAACAUUUUCUCCUGUGUUUGAAGUUAAACACUUUGAGUACUCAAAGUACUUCAGCUCCAUCGAGUGCUGAGUAUACCAGAAAUCCUCUCCUGAGUGUAAGCAACGAUUAUCUGCUGAUACUGAAAUUGAGAGAAUGCUGUAACAAGUACAUGUCUGUGAAACUCAUGAGCAUUUCAGCCCAGUUAAGGUGCACUUAUACCUAAAUUAGAGAGAUUUCCAGGGAGAAGGAAAAAAAAUGUUUGGUAGGCCUGUAGAAAUUUAAGAAUGUAAAACUUUCUCAAAGUGUAACCUUUCCUGUCCUGCUUUUGAUGACAACAAUGAUUCACAGUAAUGGGAAGACAAUGGUCUGGAACACCCAAUCUUUCCAAGCAGUUGUGCUAUUGCCAUGGUAUGCAUUCCUCCAGCUGAGCCUGAUGUGAUUCCUGCUCAUAUCCGCACUGACACGUCUCUGAGGUUCAUGCUGGAAAGGUUUCUGCAGCUAAAUACAAUCCUCACAGGGGUUAAUUACACAACAUUCCAGAUCAAUACACAAGACUGAUCACCUGAAACUGGGCACCUGAAAUGCUGCCAAGCACUGGGGUGGAUUGGUCACUUCUUAAACGACCUUCUGCUUUUUGGGGGGUUGAAACCAGAAAUUUCAGGACACAGAAACUUUGGAGCAGAAACUUUGCAGCAGAGCCAAGACAGGACAGGAUCUCUUCCAUCAGUUCAGCAGCAGGUUCAGUGUGCAGGGCUUUUCCUCGUGUUUUCAAACACUGUGGGAAGAGCCAGGGUUGGGACAGCCGAGGUCAGAAGUUUGACUGUUUAGGGGGUACAAUUUGGGAGCAUUUUGUACUUCAGCUGCUCUGGAUUAGGAAUCCUUUGGGCACUGAAUCUCUCUGUCCUUUUUAGAAAGGGAUUGGAAGGAAAUUUAAACAUGAGGAGAAAGGUUCAGGUAGGGAUUUGACAGUUAGAAAUUGUUUGUGCAGCGCAUUUUCCCAGGACUGAACAUGGUGUCACACUGAAGCUCGAGGCCAAAACAGUUUUGCUCUCUUGGGUAUUUAACAAUCGGGAUACUUCAGGCAGCUGAAAGCCAGGACAGCUACAAUAGAUGGUCAGAAGAGCAAACAUUUCCAAGGUAAUGGCUUCUAACAGUAAAACUGUGCUGCUGCUGAGAGAGUGAAUUCCAGCUCCCUCCUGUGAAAGAAGCUCCCAGGACAAAAGCACCAUUUUCUCUGCUUGUACCUCUACCUGCACAAGGUGCUUUUGCUGGCACAGUUCUGCCUUCAGAGGAUCUUAUCACAGCCCUGACUGACACAACUGUGCCAGGAGAGUUGGUGGUGGAGCCCUGACCUAAAAACACCCUGGCUCAGCUGCAGGGUUAACACCCAGCUGGGAAUAAAAAGAGGGACUCACUGAGUCCACUUUCUCAGCUGUUCUGAAAGCCAUGCACAGCCUGGGUGGGAAACCAUUGUUCUUUGGGAAGGAGAUCCCUCAGCUCUUUCAGCUGUUGUAUUUUGGGGAACAGGUUUGGUCUAAAGGAAAACCUUUGGGGACCAACGAAGUGCUGCAUUUAUUUACAAAAAAAAUUGUUAAAAAUUU